AUCCAACUGAUGAGUCCCAAAUAGAACGAGAAGUGCGUUCUGGAU
rfam:Schistosoma haematobium scaffold510_17, whole genome shotgun sequence.